rnacentral:rRNA from 1 species
UUCCAUUGUGUAGCCGGUGAAAUGCGUAGAGAUAUGGAGGAACACCAGUGGCGAAGGCGACUUUCUGGUCUGUAACUGACACUGAGGCGCGAAAGCGUGGGGAGCAAACAGGAUUAGAUACCUGGUAGUCCACGCCGUAAACGAUGAGUGCUAAGUGUUAGAGGGUUUCCGCCCUUUAGUGCUGAAGUUAACGCAUUAAGCACUCCGCCUGGGGAGUACGGCCGCAAGGCUGAAACUCAAAGGAAUUGACGGGGGCCCGCACAAGCGGUGGAGCAUGUGGUUUAAUUCGAAGCAACGCGAAGAACCUUACCAGGUCUUGACAUCCUCUGAAAACCCUAGAGAUAGGGCUUCUCCUUCGGGAGCAGAGUGACAGGUGGUGCAUGGUUGUCGUCAGCUCGUGUCGUGAGAUGUUGGGUUAAGUCCCGCAACGAGCGCAACCCUUGAUCUUAGUUGCCAUCAUUAAGUUGGGCACUCUAAGGUGACUGCCGGUGACAAACCGGAGGAAGGUGGGGAUGACGUCAAAUCAUCAUGCCCCUUAUGACCUGGGCUACACACGUGCUACAAUGGACGGUACAAAGAGCUGCAAGACCGCGAGGUGGAGCUAAUCUCAUAAAACCGUCUCAGUCGGAAUGAG